CGGGCGCGGUUGCGAGCAAACCACCGCCGAUCACGCCAGCUUGUCCAACCGCCAGCAAGCAACCACAAAUCACCAAGAACUGAAAAACAAAGGGAAAGAAGACGAUGAAUUAUUUCAGUGCACCGUCAUUCGAACAUUUAUUUUUCAUUCGGUUUCCAAGUUAAACGGCGGGCUUUUUCAGACCCUUCGUAACGUUAGAAACGUUGCUUAGUAUGGUAGGAGCUGCUUUCUUCACCGAUUGGAAGCGACAAACGAAUUGAAUGCAUCUAGUGGAUUUGUCAGCCUAUUUAUACGUAACCUCUUGUAAUCCUGUCCAGAUAGUUAACUUGAAACAUUUUUUCA